GGGAGUAGCUCAGUUGGUAGAGCAUCAGCCUUCCAAGCUGAGGGCCGCGGGUUCGACCCCCGUCUCC
rnacentral:tRNA from 1 species